rnacentral:lncRNA from 1 species
GCGACGCGCUGGACCCAGUGCUCCCCGCGGGCAGCGGGGGCCCCCAGGCCGGCCGGCUCCCACCCCYGCCCGCCGCCCCCCCUGCCGCACCUGGAUGGUACCUCCCGCCGGCGGCGCGGGCACUUUCUGAACUAGCCAGGAAGGGGCGACUCCGGGGGGGCGGGGGGCGCCGAAGUCUGUAUGGAAUUACCUGCGCCCGCGGUGAACUUGGCACCGGUGCAUGGAUGGGCAUCGCGUCCUCCGCGCUCGCCUCUAGCCCCGCCGGAGGAGUAAAAAACGUGGAUUCUCCGAAUACGCAUUGUGAUGACCGGCAAAUACCUUGCUGACUGAUCUCACGAGCGGAAUAUUUGGGAAGACUUUUGUGGGGAGUAGCCUUGGAGAGCUGGAAGAUGAAAGCUCCUAUUUCACACUUGAUUCUCUUGUGUGCUACUCUAACUCAGAGCUUGAAGGUUGUGACCAAAAGGGGAUCAGCCUUACUACUGUGUAACAACAAAGCCUUUAGGAAUGCUACUGAAAACAGUUUACAAUGGACAAUUAGAAGAUUUCUGGAUACUGGUAAUUCUUUGUUUGAUACCAUCUUUCAAAGACAUUGCAAACUUUUCGGACAAGAACAUCGUUUUCUCUAUUAUGAAGCUACGUUCUCAGUGUUCCAUCUGUAAUAAUCCAUAUUCUGUCAGAAUGACUACAGCCCUAAGAAGGAAGUGUUUGGGCUGUUUCUUGUAAUACCUGCCAUUUUACGUUAAACAACUUUUUGAAAAUGAGUUCCUAUAGCUAAUGGUGCUUUAAAAAWAUAUAUAUAUAUAUUUAUAAUUCAGGGUUUUUUUGGUCAAGUAACCACCCAUUUUACUAACUAAUUUUUCAUAUUUAUGGGUCUUUUUAUAUUCAGUGCUAAAAUGAGAGGUCACUGUGGGAAACUGCUGCCAGUUGGCCCUAGGUACAAGCUUGAGGUCCUUUUACUAUCUUCUCUGCAAUUUUCAGUCACUUACACUCAUUGUGUCUCACCUUCACCUUUGCAGACUAGAGCUUUUAAAAAAGGUCUAAUUAUGUGCUAUGCAAUUAAAAUUAUGUUAAUCAAAACUAAUAAUGUUUAUGAUACUAUAAUUUUUCUUUCUGACAGAGGUUUCAGCAUCAUAUGAAGUAUUUGUGGAAUUCUUUCUAAAAUGCUUUUUACAUUCUGGAACUCACAUGCUUUUAUCUUCUUGAAGAAAUCAAUAUUAUUUAAUUUCUUUUAUCAAACAAAUGGAAAACAGCUGUUAAAUUAACAAAUAUUUAAGAAGAUCGGUGAGGUUCCUAUCAACCAAUUCAUAUUGCAUUUUUAAAGUUCUCAAAAAAUGUGUAAGUUUAAUAGACUUUCUGGAAAUUCAAAUACAUCUCUUACC